GGUUGAAGGUUGGGUAACACUAACUGGAGGACCGAACCGACUAAUGUUGAAAAAUUAGCGGAUGACCUGUGGCUGGGGGUGAAAGGCCAAUCAAACCGGGAGAUAGCUGGUUCUCCCCGAAAGCUAUUUAGGUAGCGCCUCGUGAAUUCAUCUCCGGGGGUAGAGCACUGUUUCGGCUAGGGGGCCAUCCCGGCUUACCAACCCGAUGCAAACUGCGAAUACCGGAGAAUGUUAUCACGGGAGACACACGGCGGGUGCUAACGUCCGUCGUGAAGAGGGAAACAACCCAGACCGCCAGCUAAGGUCCCAAAGUCAUGGUUAAGUGGGAAACGAUGUGGGAAGGCCCAGACAGCCAGGAUGUUGGCUUAGAAGCAGCCAUCAUUUAAAGAAAGCGUAAUAGCUCACUGGUCGAGUCGGCCUGCGCGGAAGAUGUAACGGGGCUAAACCAUGCACCGAAGCUGCGGCAGCGAACGUAUCACCCAAGACAACUUUACGGAGUUGACGAUUGACGGAGCGAAGCGACGUCAAAGCGUUCAUUAAAGUCGAGUUGGCUUAGGGAUACGUUCGUUGGGUAGGGGAGCGUUCUGUAAGCCUGUGAAGGUGUGUCGUGAGGCAUGCUGGAGGUAUCAGAAGUGCGAAUGCUGACAUAAGUAACGAUAAAGCGGGUGAAAAGCCCGCUCGCCGGAAGACCAAGGGUUCCUGUCCAACGUUAAUCGGGGCAGGGUGAGUCGACCCCUAAGGCGAGGCCGAAAGGCGUAGUCGAUGGGAAACGGGUUAAUAUUCCCGUACUUGGUGUUACUGCGAAGGGGGGACGGAGAAGGCUAUGUUGGCCGGGCGACGGUUGUCCCGGUUUAAGCGUGUAGGUGUGUGUUCCAGGUAAAUCCGGUU
rnacentral:rRNA from 1 species